GCCUGGGUGGCUCAGUCGGUUAAGUGUCUGACUUUAGCUCAGGUCAUGAUCUCGUGGUUCGUGAGUUCAAGCCUUGCGUCAGGCU
rnacentral:tRNA from 1 species